AUUGAACGCUGGCGGCAUGCUUUACACAUGCAAGUCGAACGGCAGCGGGGCUUCGGCCUGCCGGCGAGUGGCGAACGGGUGAGUAAUGCAUCGGAACGUGCCCAUGUCGUGGGGGAUAACGUAGCGAAAGCUACGCUAAUACCGCAUACGUCCUGAGGGAGAAAGCGGGGGAUCUUCGGACCUCGCGCGAUUGGAGCGGCCGAUGUCGGAUUAGCUAGUAGGUGAGGUAAAGGCUCACCUAGGCGACGAUCCGUAGCGGGUCUGAGAGGAUGAUCCGCCACACUGGGACUGAGACACGGCCCAGACUCCUACGGGAGGCAGCAGUGGGGAAUUUUGGACAAUGGGCGGCAAGCCUGAUCCAGCCAUUCCGCGUGAGUGAAGAAGGCCUCG
rnacentral:rRNA from 1 species